rnacentral:rRNA from 1 species
CACUAACACAUGCAAGUCGAGCGCGCCUUUCGGGGUGAGCGGCGGACGGGUUAGUAACGCGUGGGAAUAUACCCUUUUCUACGGAAUAGCCUCUGGAAACGGAGAGUAAUACCGUAUGAGCCCUUCGGGGGAAAGAUUUAUCGGGAAAGGAUUAGCCCGCGUUAGAUUAGGUAGUUGGUGGGGUAAUGGCCUACCAAGCCUACGAUCUAUAGCUGGUUUUAGAGGAUGAUCAGCAACACUGGGACUGAGACACGGCCCAGACUCCUACGGGAGGCAGCAGUGGGGAAUCUUGGACAAUGGGGGCAACCCUGAUCCAGCCAUGCCGCGUGAGUGAUGAAGGCCUUAGGGUCGUAAAGCUCUUUCGCCUGUGAAGAUAAUGACGGUAGCAGGUAAAGAAACCCCGGCUAACUCCGUGCCAGCAGCCGCGGUAAUACGGAGGGGGUUAGCGUUGUUCGGAAUUACUGGGCGUAAAGCGCACGUAGGCGGACCAGAAAGUUGGGGGUGAAAUCCCGGGGCUCAACCCCGGAACUGCCUCCAAAACUAUUGGUCUAGAGUUCGAGAGAGGUGAGUGGAAUUCCAAGUGUAGAGGUGAAAUUCGUAGAUAUUUGGAGGAACACCAGUGGCGAAGGCGGCUCACUGGCUCGCUACUGACGCUGAG